rnacentral:lncRNA from 1 species
ACUGGGAUUUUCUGAAGCACCCAAGGGUAUCUUUUCCCUUGUGUUUUAGACAUCAAGGAAGCUGUCUAUAUUCUUAAGGACCUGAAGAACUCUGACAAUCUGAAGAAUUUUGAAUUCAGGUAAGACUCAAAGUUGCAGAGUUAAAAUGUGUGAGAUCACACCUUUUUCAAGGUGGCAGAAGUCUAUUAUUGUUGAGACAGCAGGAACAAUGGGCUAAACUUCUCAGAGCUACAUCUUGUCAAAGACACAUCCCAGCAUGAUUUUUGAAGUAAAAAGACACAUCCCAGGACAAUUUGAGAAAUGAUUUUCUCUUCAGAAGGAAGAAUUUAUCUGUCACAUAAACUGUAAAUGCACUGUAUUAACACAGAGAUCAUGAAGACAGAAGAACUUGAUGUUUAUCCAUGUUUCCCCAAUUAUAGCAUAUUUUUUGAGUUGAGAAACAAGAGACCAGUAUGAUUAUCUGGGCCUCAGAGAGAAUUGUGGCAGG